rnacentral:rRNA from 1 species
CCUACGGGAGGCAGCAGUGGGGAAUAUUGCGCAAUGGGCGAAAGCCUGACGCAGCGACGCCGCGUGAGGGAUGAAGGUCUUCGGAUCGUAAACCUCUGUCAGCAGGGAAGAACGGUCACUGUGCUAAUCAGCAGUGAAUUGACGGUACCUGCAAAGGAAGCACCGGCUAACUCCGUGCCAGCAGCCGCGGUAAUACGGAGGGUGCGAGCGUUAAUCGGAAUUACUGGGCGUAAAGCGCUCGUAGGCGGUAUGUCAAGUCAAGGGUGAAAUCCCCGCGCUCAACGUGGGAACUGCCUUAGAAACUGGCAAACUGGAGUGUGUGAGAGGAUAGUGGAAUUCCAGGUGUAGGGGUGAAAUCCGUAGAUAUCUGGAGGAACAUCAGUGGCGAAGGCGACUAUCUGGAACAUAACUGACGCUGAGGAGCUAAAGCGUGGGUAGCAAACAGGAUUAGAUACCCGUGUAGUC